rnacentral:lncRNA from 1 species
ACUUCCAAAAAUCCGAUAGCAAGUUCAAAUUCGGAUGGCGGCAUAUCAAUAAAGGAUAGUUCGAUAUUAUAAUAAUACAAAAGUUAGACUGAAGAUCUUCCAUCCAGGAGAUCUAGUCUUAGAAAAAGCAGAAGUCUCAAAAUCUUUGGAUCAGAGAAAAUUAUCUCUGAAUUGAAAAGGACCUUACAGAAUAAUCGAGAUG